rnacentral:rRNA from 1 species
GACGAACGCUGGCGGCGUGCUUAACACAUGCAAGUCGAACGGAAAGGCCUGCUUUCCCUUGUGGAUUGCGGGUACUCGGGUGGCGAACGGGUGAGUAACACGUGAGUGAUCUGCCCCCAACUUGGGUAUAAGCCUGGGAAACUGGGUCUAAUUCCCGAUAGGACUGCAGGGUGGUGCCUGUGGUGGAAAACGAUUUUCUAGUGGUUGGGGAUGAGCUCGCGGCCUAUCAGCUUGUUGGUGGGGUAAUGGCCUGCCAAGGCGGCGACGGGUAGCCGGCCUGAGAGGGUGGACGGCCACAUUGGGACUGAGAUACGGCCCAGACUCCUACGGGAGGCAGCAGUGGGGAAUAUUGCACAAUGGGCGGAAGCCUGAUGCAGCGACGCCGCGUGGGGGAUGACGGCCUUCGGGUUGUAAACUCCUUUCGACCGCGAGGAAGCCACCUGGUUGGAAGGGUGGUGACGGUAGUGGUAGAAGAAGCACCGGCUAACUACGUG